UUACGGUGGAUGACUUAAGUCAAGGU
rnacentral:piRNA from 1 species